GGGCGAAAGCCUGAUCCAGCAAUGCCGCGUGUGUGAAGAAGGCCUGCGGGUUGUAAAGCACUUUUAUUAGGAAAGAAAUGGCCUGGGUUAAUAGCCCAUGGCAGCUGACGGUACCUAAUGAAUAAGCACCGGCUAACUCCGUGCCAGCAGCCGCGGUAAUACGGAGGGKGCAAGCGUUAAUCGGAAUUACUGGGCGUAAAGCGUGCGUAGGCGGCUACKUAAGUCGGAUGUGAAAGCCCCGGGCUUAACCUGGGAAUUGCAUUCSAUACUGUGUAGCUAGAGUCUGGUAGAGGUAAKUGGAAUUCCAGGUGUAGCGGUGAAAUGMGUARAUAUCUGGAGGAACACCASUGGCGAAGGCGGCUUACUGGACCAAGACUGACGCUGAGGURCGAAAGCGUGGGUAGCAAACAGGAUUANAUACCCUGGUAGUCCACGCCCUAAACGAUGUCAACUAGUUGUUGGGAGCCUUAAUAGCUCUUGGUGACGAAGCUAACGCGUUAAGUUGACCGCCUGGG
rnacentral:rRNA from 1 species